GGGAUGCGUGACAUUAGAUAGUAGGCGGGGUAACGGCCCACCUAGUCUACGAUGUCCAGGGGUUCUGAGAGGAAGGUCCCCCACACUGGAACUGAGACACGGUCCAGACUCCUACGGGAGGCAGCAGUGAGGAAUAUUGGUCAAUGGUCGGAAGACUGAACCAGCCAAGUAGCGUGAAGGAUGAAGGUUCUAUGGAUUGUAAACUUCUUUUAUACGGGAAUAAAACCUCCCACGUGUGGGAGCUUGUAUGUACCGUAUGAAUAAGCAUCGGCUAACUCCGUGCCAGCAGCCGCGGUAAUACGGAGGAUGCGAGCGUUAUCCGGAUUUAUUGGGUUUAAAGGGAGCGUAGACGGGAUGUUAAGUCAGUUGUGAAGGGCUGCGGCUCAACCGCAGCACUGCAGUUGAUACUGGCGUCCUUGAGUGCGGUUGAGGUAUGUGGAAUUCGUGGUGUAGCGGUGAAAUGCUUAGAUAUCACGAAGAACUCCGAUUGCGAAGGCAGCAUACUAAGCCGCUACUGACGUUGAGGCUCGAAAGUGUGGGUAUCAAACAGGAUUAGAUACCCUGGUAGUCCACACGGUAAACGAUGAAUACUCGCUGUUGGCGAUAUACAGUCAGCGGCCAAGCGAAAGCAUUAAGUAUUCCACCUGGGGAGUACGCCGGCAACGGUGAAACUCAAAGGAAUUGACGGGGGCCCGCACAAGCGGAGGAACAUGUGGUUUAAUUCGAUGAUACGCGAGGAACCUUACCCGGGCUUAAAUUGCGCUGGACAGAUUGGGAGACCAAUCCUUCUUCGGACCAGUGUGAAGGUGCUGCAUGGUUGUCGUCAGCUCGUGCCGUGAGGUGUCGGCUUAAGUGCCAUAACGAGCGCAACCCUUGCCAUUAGUUACUAACAGGUUAUGCUGAGGACUCUAGUGGGACUGCCAUCGUAAGAUGUGAGGAAGGUGGGGAUGACGUCAAAUCAGCACGGCCCUUACGUCCGGGGCUACACACGUGUUACAAUGGGAGGUACAGAAGGCUGCUACCCGGCGACGGGAUGCCAUUCCCCAAAACCUCUCUCAGUUCGUA
rnacentral:rRNA from 1 species